UACGUAGGGUGCGAGCGUUGUCCGGAAUUACUGGGCGUAAAGCGCACGCAGGCGGUUCGCCAAGUUUGGAGUGACAGUUGUCGGCUCAACCGACAAAGGACUUCAAAAACUGGUGAACUUGAGGACGAGAGAGGAACAUGGAACUCCAGGUGUAGUAGUGAAAUGCGUAGAUAUCUGGAAGAACACCAAUGGCGAAGGCAAUGUUCUGGCUCGUUUCUGACGCUCAGGUGCGAAAGCCAGGGGAGCGAACGGG
rnacentral:rRNA from 1 species